AUUUUUUAUUAGUCUGAAUUUGUAAAUAGACAAAUUAUAAAAGACAAAUAAGCAAAUGAAAAAUGAUAUUUGAUCAUAUGGAUUGGAUUAUGAUCUAUUGUUUAGUUCAAUUUGAUCCACUCUAUGUUGACCCAUUUAAAUUUUGAGCCACAUAUACACUACAAAGGUAGCAGCCAAAUGGUUUCUCUCCAUUGAUUUCUUCAAUACACAGUCCAAUUCCAUCACUUUCCCAUUAACCAUUGUUCCAAAGAACUCGAGAAGAUCUAUCAAGAAUGGUUCAAUUUCGCUGAUUAGAUCUGGACAUCUGAUAUGUAGAUGAACGUCAUAUUGGAGGAGAUGCCAACUAGUUCUUUGCCAUGUCCAAUUUGCCUCGUCAAGGCCUCAAGUAGGUCCUUUUCUUUUCUACUAUCUUUAUUUCUUUAAUGUUUGUAUCGGACACCGGCUGGGAAAACAAAACAAAAAACAUUAUAGUUUGUGAAUAGUUCGUCGGUAGCUCAAAUGCAGUCUGUGUUUCGUCUCAAGUUUGUAGCACUGACAACCAAUUAAAUAACUUUAAGAAACUGACUAUAACUUAAAUAACAUGGUGAAACUGGUUACCGGGUGAAAUUAAGACCUUUAUUUGUACAGAACUUUGUGUUGCCGGAAUUGUGCAAUGAAUUAACAGAUAUACUGAUUUGGAUGCUUACAUAACUGAACAAGUUUUUAAGUUUUCAA